AUACGUAGGGUGCAAGCGUUAAUCGGAAUUACUGGGCGUAAAGCGUGCGCAGGCGGCUUUGCAAGACAGAUGUGAAAUCCCCGGGCUCAACCUGGGAACUGCAUUUGUGACUGCAAGGCUGGAGUGCGGCAGAGGGGGAUGGAAUUCCGCGUGUAGCAGUGAAAUGCGUAGAUAUGCGGAGGAACACCGAUGGCGAAGGCAAUCCCCUGGGCCUGCACUGACGCCCAUGCACGAAAGCGUGGGGAGC
rnacentral:rRNA from 1 species